AUACUUACCUGGCAGGGGAGAUACCAUGAUCAGGAAGGUGGUUUUCCCAGGGCGAGGCUUAUCCAUUGCACUCGGGAUGUGCUGACCCCUGCGAUUUCCCCAAAUGUGGGAAACUCGACUGCAUAAUUUGUGGUAGUGGGGGACUGCGUUCGCACUUUCCCCUG
ensembl:snRNA U1 U1 spliceosomal RNA